UUUCUAUUUUUGGCUCUCCCGUGUUUCCAGGGGAAACCUAAUGACGCAAUGACGUCAAUGCAGGUCACCAGCAAGAAGCAGACUGGAGGAAUUGAGUGGCUUCCAUUAGAGGUUUUGCAGCAUUUUCCGGCAGAGGAGGGGAGGAGGACGAAAUGGAUUAAGAUUAGGGGAGAUGGGGGGCGGAGAAGGUGGGGGAUGCACAGGAAAAACAAAAAAAAGAAAAGAGGAAAGAGGAAAGAAAAGGAAAAAGAGAAGAAAUACAGAGGCGAGAUGAAUGGGAGGCAAUGCGACUGACGUCUGGUGAAGAGAGGAAUGAUGGAAAAGGGGGAGGAGGAGGAGGAGAAUGGGUGGAGGUGGAGGGGUGGUGGUGAUGGUGGAUGGAGGUGAGGUGGGGGGGACCCUUACUGCUGCAUAUCAAUGGGUGCCGUUCAAAUUCCCAGGGAUUAUUGGAGGGAAAAAAAAGAAGUGGGGGGGAAAGAGGAAGAAGAAAAAAAACAGGAUGCACGCUUCCCUCGGAUCGGUGACGACUGGGUGCUGAUAAUGUUGACACAAGAUCCCAGGAUCCACCUUUUUGUCCUUUGUGGGUCUUUUUGCGGUCUGGGCUUGCUGUUCCUAAGGCAGUAGCCAGGAAGCCCUUACCCCAAAAAGUAUCUGCACUGGAUUCUGGCAGCUGAAAGCAGAAAUCUCACUUUCUGUCUCCCUGAUGGAGCAUCUCUCAUUUCUGGUGCUGAUUCAGAGUGAGGACACUGUUCAUUUGCAAGUUUCUUUAAGGUUCAACGUAGUCCGAGCUGGUCAAAGGCUGGUGUAAUGUAAGAAUAUGAUUCUUUUUUUUUUUUUUUAACUGGAAGCCUUUGAGAAGCAUAAUACAAGAUGUGGAAGACUAGAUCAGAGCGGGUAACCUGAGAACAAUCCAAUUGGAAAGAAUCUUAUUAUAGUAAGAAGCAGACAGCAGUUUUACUCAGCUCCACUCCGGAUUGAGAAGUGUAAAGCAACACUUCCUGAAGUUACUUAAUAUCAGAAUUUCUAUUUCGGAAAACACAGACAGGAUGAACCUUUGACAAUUUUAACACACCAGGCAGUGUGGAUACAUUUUGAACAGACAAAAUAUGCAAAUUCUGUCUAUAGGGGAACUGAGUUAAAAGUAGAUGUUAUUUCCAUAGAUUUCAGACAGUCCAUGUGUAGAUGAAAAGGAAUCACACUCUCAAAAUGAGUAUCUUGAAGUCUCUUUAUUCAGGGAGUGCAAAGUAGCUCACACAACACCUGGUUAGGGUGGAGAAUCUCCUGGAAAAAGAGGAAAAAGACAGUAUUUAUACACUGUGUGUCACGUUGUUUAGCUAGGUGUAGGUUCUCUCUGUUCUGGAUAAUUGGGAGGACAAACUGGAUUAAAAAAAAACACAAUGUGAUUUCUAGUAUUUUGCACCUGCAUUCCUUGCUUUCUUUGCUUUAUGAAUGAAUGCACUUGAAGAUUACUCUAAAUCUGCCAUUAAUACACCGUCUUCAUGCAUUUUUAAGUACAUUCUGUUGUCUGUUUUCAGUGUUUUUGCAUCAUCUUUGAUCCAUUUUUUUUUAAAAGAGUGCUGUGUUGUAAUGAGUGUGAACGUUAAGCAUACCGACUACUACUAACAGUACGUUAUGUCACAGGGGCAACUGUGUGUGAAAUCAAGCAGCAAAAAUAUGAAUGGAAUGUCAUCAGCAGGCCAGACAUUUAUAGAAGUGCCCCUAGAAACUCCAUCAACAGGAUGUCGACAGCCAACAAACACGCUGAGUGAAGUGGACGUGUAGCUCCAAGCCUUUGACGUACUCCGUGUUACAUAAAUGUGAUUAUUUAUCCAAACCCAUGAGCCUUCACAAUGUGGUUUUUGUACGUCAAAACCCGAGGCACUUCUUUGUGCGCUGACAAAGCCACUUUGCUUAACUUUCAUCACUCAGGGAUGUCUGUACUGUACAUGAAGUACACAACGAGCACAUGUGACGUCCUCUCCGGAGCACAUGUUGGGCGAUAUUAUGCAGAAGAGUUUGUCCCUCAUUGAUCAUCUCUUUCCAUCUCAGCAUCUUUUUUACACUUUCGUAUCUCUGUGAUUUCACAUUAUUGCCGCUUCUACCCGGCAGCUUCUGUGCUUGUGUGGUUAUACAUGUUCAAUUUUUAUUCAUCUUAUUUGAAUUCACUUCCUCGCUUCACUCUAAAGCAGCUGCUACUGUUUCCAUUAAUGUCUUGUCGCAUAAAACUGAAAUAAAAUUAUUAUAAAGCA